rnacentral:misc_RNA from 1 species
ACAAACUUGGUCAUUUAGAGGAAGUAAAAGUCGUAACAAGGUUUCCGUAGGUGAACCUGCGGAAGGAUCAUUAUCGAGUGUGAACCCCCCCUUAGAAAAGGGGAGGGUUUCCUCCAGUCCUUUGCUGGGCACCCUAUUCUAGAAAGGGGUUGCUUUCAAUAUUUUCUGCUUCGGCGGGGUUACCCGCCGGAACACCCUCAAAUUCUAAUUUCAAAUGGUUCUGUCCGAGAAACUUUUUGAAAAAAGUGGAAAACUUUCAACAACGGAUCUCUUGGUUCUGGCAUCGAUGAAGAACGCAGC